AUGGCGAGUAUAGUGUUAAGCAAAAUUCUACAGGAUGUGCAGGAGCAGGGUGACCUGCGGGUAUAUGUGUGUGCGAAGUCGCAGACUAUCCGACAGACUCCCGCUGCCGUCUCCCAGUUUGCGGAGCAGGGAGUGAAACUGCAGUGUCAUGUGGAAGGAGCAAGUACCCCAAACAUGUUCUGGUACAGACAAGCCCCAGGGAAGGGGUUGCAGCUGAUGUUUUACUCUAUUACCACCAGAGUAGUAGAUCCAGACGGGUCGGUGGACGGGUUCACCGCCAAGCGGCCGAGUGAUCUUGAGUUCAUUCUGGAGACCACCAGCCUAUGGGCGAAUCAGUCGGCCAUGUAUUACUGCGCCUGGAGUAUUCACAGUGACUCAGAGAGAGGGAGCAGCGCAACAAAAACCUCAAAGGCGACAUGA